UACAGAGGGUGCUAGCGUUGUUCGGAAUCAUUGGGCGUAAAGGGCGUGUAGGCGGUUUGUUAAGUCAUGUGUGAAAUCCCUCGGCUCAACCGGGGAACGACGCAUGAAACUGGCAAGCUAGAGUACCAAAGAGGGGGGUGGAAUUCCCGGUGUAGCGGUGAAAUGUGUAGAGAUCGGGAGGAACACCGGUGGCGAAGGCGGGUCUCUGGGCAUCUCCUGACGCUGAGGAGCGAAAGUGUGGGGAGCGAACAGG
rnacentral:rRNA from 1 species